rnacentral:sRNA from 1 species
GUUGAGUGGGAAUAAAGAGCCAACAUAAUAAGGAUGGGGAAUGCCGAUAAAUCAACGUUUUUCAACUUAUGAAAUGCUUGAUUUUCAUUGAAAAUGAUAUGGUUCCCUACCAUUUUCCAUAACAAAAUAACGUUUGGAAAAAGUA